UACGGAGGGUGCGAGCGUUGUCCGGAAUCACUGGGCGUAAAGGGCGCGUAGGCGGCCUGAUAAGUAGGGGGUGAAAUCUUGCGGCUUAACCGCAAGGCUGCCUUCUAAACUGUCGGGCUCGAGCACAGUAGAGGCAGGUGGAAUUCCCGGUGUAGCGGUGGAAUGCGUAGAGAUCGGGAAGAACACCAGUGGCGAAGGCGGUCUGCUGGGCCGUUGCUGACGCUGAGGCGCGACAGCGUGGGGAGCAAACAGG
rnacentral:rRNA from 1 species